UGUUUCUUAUUCCUUUUUCUCUCCAAGCAUAUCGCCCCAUCUUAUAUCCCAAACCAGGUAGAACAUGAGCUCAAUACUGAUCUUCUGCGAGGUCGAAUUGGAGAUGGAUUUGAAGACAGAGGCCAAAUCGGAGAUGGAACCAUACAUGGGUCUUCAACGAAAAGUCCCAGAGUGUUGGAAGCUUGAAACUCGGCGCCUUGCUUCUCUCUUGAUUUUGAAAAGGAGGAGCUUUGUGCAUCGAGGAGCCAUCUUCAAAGGUCGGCAUAUUGUGGGCGAGGAUAGCAGCUGCAGUUGAGAUCCCAGAGUUUCAAUUUCAGGGACAGUUUGAUGUGCAGGUGUAAACAAAAGCGGUAAUUAUCAAAGCUUCAGAGGCCUCUCGAAGCUUUUUUCUUUGGUGGCUCGAGACGAGAUCGACGACUAUAGUUUAGCCAAGCUUCAGAAUUCCAAGAUUUAAACUCAAGGGUGAGGCUUUCUUUUUUUUAUUUACCCACUGGUUUGUUUAUAAUAGGUGUUUCGGAACGGAGGUUGGGACUGGCUCUUUUUGGCUAUGGAGUUUUGAAAAGAUGCAGGGAGGAAUUAUUUGUGGUGUUUAAAUGGAAUUGACAGAGUUCCUGUUAACAUUUUUAUAUUGAACCACCACAACCCUAUGGUAAUUCACAAAGGGCUCUCUGUCAGUUUGGUGUAUUAAACAGCCAAAACUUGAGGAUAAUAUCGGCACCCUAAGGCAUGCCGUGUCAAAGUUCUGAAACAGUAUUGGCACCGUAAGGCACCGCCACCGGAGCUUUGAAAGCAGUUUCGGCACCCUAAGGCAUGCCGAAUGAAGCUCUGAAACGGUAUUGGCACCGAAACGUACCGCCACCGGAGCUUUGAAAGUGGUAAAACCAUAAAGAGAUGGAUUCUCCACCUUUUUCCUAUGGAACACGCUGCAGCUUCCUCUAUCCCCUUUGCUUUCCUUCUCCUUCUGCCUCUUUUUUUUCUUUUUCUCUUGUACGGCCUUCUUGGCCUCUUAUAUAGUGUACUGAUGGUAUGGUUGAGUUUUAGAGAGACUCUUGUACUUGACAUGACAUGAAACACCAAAAGAUAACUAUGAUCCCUAUCAGGGAAUUACCGUGCAUCAGUUGCAAUCAAACUCUAAUACUUAAUAAGCUCAUGUGUAAUUAUGGGCAAUUGACCUUCA